CCCUUAGAUGUUCUGGGCCGCACGCGCGCUACACUGAUGCAUUCAACGAGUCUAAAACCUGCCCUGAUAGGGGUGGGUAAUCUUUUGAAUGUGCAUCGUGAUUGGGAUAGAUGAUUGCAAUUUUUCAUCUUCAACGAGGAAUGCCUAGUAAACGCAAGUCAUCAGCUUGCAUUGAUUACGUCCCUGCCCUUUGUACACACCGCCCGUCGCUCCUACCGAUUGAAUGAUCCGAUGAAUAUCAUGGAUUGAGGAUGCAAGUAGGUUCGCCUAUCUUCAUCUUCGAGAAGUGAAGUAAAUCUUAUCAUUUAGAGGAAGGAGAAGUCGUAACA
rnacentral:rRNA from 1 species